CUUCGCCGUGGCUAAGGGAGGGCGAGGCGGGGAAUGGGCCCGGCCACGCCUGCAGCGACGGAGAGGCGUGGAAUGAAGCGGCUUUGCGCCCUCACGGCGCCCUCUCUACGCGAAAGACGCUUGUGAGGUGGAAGUUCACGGACUCUCGUGUGCAGCCUACACGUUUGUCACCUCACGCUUAUAUAUUCUCCCGCCCGUGCUUUCGUGAUGGCUUGCCCCUUUUAGAAGAGGCCUGAUAUGCGGAUAUAGGCUGGCGAAGCGCUUCCGUGGAAAGGAAGGUCUCCUGGUAAAUACCAUAGAGUUAAGCCUGUAUUAAAGGGCUGGUUGGUGAACUUGAAGAGGACUUUCUUCCACUUAGACCAGAAAUCAUUGCCAUUGAGGAUAGUCUCCCUAUGGCACGGACUGCAUUGCCUGUUUUCUGCAAUAUAACACAGAAGCGUCUGAUGAAUCCAUUCUUUCAAUUCCUCAUUUGUUAAGUGUUUGAAAGCUAAAAAGUGGACUAAUUGAGAAAGGACACAAUUAUUCCAGGCCAAGUGCCACAUCUGCUUGUAUUAUAAAGACAGUUCCUGAAGACAAGGGGAAAUGUAAAUGGAAGGGUCACAAUGUCCUGACAAGGAUUUCCCAUCGCCUUGUGCUAAGCAAGUAACACUGUUUGCACGAUACACGCAUUCUUAGAGCAGCUGGAAAUGGCAAGAACAGAAGGCAUGGUGAAAGUAUCCAAGGAUAGCCAGGUAUGGAGUAACAGCAAAACAUUAUGUAAUUAAGGGGAAAUGUUUUGCUCACGUUUAUGGAGUUCAUCAUACUGACCCCUUUCCCCUCCUUUCUUGGUGGGCGAUUCCCCACGGUCAAAAAAGCACGUGAUUCUCAUGGUAAAAGUCCCGGUUUGAGCGAGGAGUCCCCACGGCUUCAGUGCCCAACUCGGCUUCGUCCCGGUCCUGCUGCGUGCUCACCCCUUCACCCCGCAUUUUUCAAAAACCAGAAAGAAGGUACACCUUUUUGAAAAACCCGGGCUGAGGCCGGAUCGGUGGGGAGGCAGCAGAAAAGCAAUAUGGUUCAUUUUUUUCACAGAACGCGCGAAGGUUUUUGUUUUGUGCUGGUCGUGGUUUUGUAGGCAUGAACCUACAAAGAGAAGGAGAGCUAGCACUGAGUGUGUGUACCAACAAAGCUGCACAGCCAAAAAGUUAAAAAAAUAAACAUCCUAUCUUUCUAUGAAGCUGCGCAGCUGGAAUUUUUUUUUAAAAAAGACUUCCUCGAGCAGAGGGGAGGGGCUGCAGGGUUGCAUUCCUGCCCCAACACAACAGUCAAUCGGAACGAUGAACUAAAGAGCUGCAAUGCAGAUCAUGGGCUCGUGGAAAUAGUUACAGUUUUUGAUCGUGGGAUUAACUUUGAACCCCUCAACAGAUGCACGCUGCGGUGGGGAGGCAGAGACCAGGAUGAAAAGAAGGUUGUUGAUGAAAUCCUUGGCAUCGUCUGAGAUCUCAUCAAAAGCUUCAUCAUCAAAAUCCCAGGUGGCAGAAGUAACAUUGGCUAAGGUUUCAUUGUCAUUAUCACCCAUAAAAGGAGAAAGUCCACUGACCCUGAGAAUUAAAAUACAUUCCACAAUAGCAAGAGUCAAUCUGUCUAAUGUAUGUGUUGUUUCCAAAUGUAUACUUCUAAAGGCCAUGAGAUAAAAAUCAUUUUCAGAUGGUCUCUGUAAUCCAUGCCAGUAUUUAAAGGAGCAAUUUUUUUAGGUGGAUUAGCAUGGGCCAAAAACAGCAGUGUGAAAACGAUGCGAAAAUGGUGUAAACCCUUUUAUACCGUUUUAAACCAUUUUACACCAUUUUCACACCACUGUUUUUGGCCCAUGUGGAAUCCACCUACAAUUUCCUAUAGGAUGCAAGAAAAUAAUAAUGUGAACUGUGUUCUUUGUUGGUUUCAAAUAUCUGUCAAACUGUGAACAAAAAGAAAAAUAUCAUUUAGCCACUAGAGGGAACCAAAAACCUGGAAUAGUCUUUUGAAUUAAAAAAAAAUCCAGAUGUUUCAUAUCAUACAUGAACCUUUCAUCCUUAUUUAGAAUUAUUUCCAUUUCACACGUCUCACUACAAAAAAAACUCAUAAUGUAGAGGAUAAUAAAAUCAAUGGAUAACAUCAUUGUGAGACCUCAACAAUUUUAGGAUUGGUGUUCUGAUAUGAAAGUAGUUCAGUAUCGACUUUAUAACUUGCAAUUGUACAAACCCUAAUUAAAUGGCUGCCUACACCUCAGGUAGUUUCAUAUGGAGUUGAUUUUCUGGUCCCAGGGAAUAUGAAAUACAAUACAAUACUUUUUCAUCAACCCAAGCUACUGUUAAAUCAUGAAUGCUUUGAGUCACAUCGAACAUUUUUCUAGACAUGAAGUAAAAUAGCUACUUUUUUUUUUCCAGCUCAGCUAUAUAGAAAUUAAGGGUCAGUAUUAAUGUAAUUAAUCUGUAUUUAGUUGAGGUCAACACCCCCAACCUGUCCAACCUCUCCCACCCUCAAGCCACAUCCCAGAACCAGAUAGGUGGCAAGAAUAAUUUGAUUUGCUGUUUAUUGCUGAUGUUGCCAAUUUUACGACUAUUGUUUUAUGCCUUCGGGGCAGGGUGGUAUACAAAUUAAACAUUCCAUUCCAAAUAAAUUUAAGAAUGAAUAAACAUAGGCCUGCAUAGAGAAAGAAGAACUGGCAGAAACGAGAUCCCUCGAUUAGUUGGAACAAAAGUGGCUUUGGUUUGUGCCAGGCAACUGUUGCGUCCUAGCCACAGUAUUUAAAAAAGAUAAUUACAUAUUACAAUCUCCCUCUGACAUUGUGGUUUGGAUCCAACAGGUUUCAGAUCGCAUGUGACCUUUGUUGUUUCCAUAGGAAGGUGUUUCUUUGCCUUGGCUUCCGAACUGGACCACUUUUCUGGAUCAUCAACAGCAUGUCUAGUCAUCCUGUGCCCACGUUUUUCUUGUCCUAUGUAUGCCCCUUCCUGUUUUAGUAUGAUCAUUUUCUAAAUAUGUUGGCACAUUGUGCAGAAGAAACAGUAUUCAGUUUCCUGCUGUGAAAACCCCAUCCACAUUGGCACCAUUUUCCUGCUAUCAGCCCCUCCUUCACAGGUGCCAUUUUCUCAAAAUAGUUUUCCUUGCUAUGCCAUGACAUCGGUUUUAGCAGGUUAAGAUUCUUUUAAUUAAUGCUGUGCUAAAUUGAUAUAAUAAUCUGUUGCUACAUCUAUUUUGGUUUCUACUGAAAUUCUAGUUUCAUUUUAAUGAAGUAUGCAGGCUUUUUCAUUGCAGAGAUAACAAGAAAAAUUGAGAAAGGUUUUGUUCUGAUUGCCUGGAAAGGAAUGGAGAGGCUACAUCAGCCAGAGAGAUAUUAUUUGUAUGUCAAUACUAUUGCCACAUCUAUUACAAGUUUUAGUGCAACUGUUAUAGUACACAUGUUAAGAACAGAACCCAAAAAAGGGUGGGUGCACUGUCACCGCAGGUGUGAUGACGGUUAUGACACAGAUGACACAAUGCCCACUUGCUGUCUAAUAGGUGUGUGGAAACUCUUGUCACCAGUGUGUACGCCUCUGCGUUCAUAGUGGUGAUGAAAGCAACAUGAAGAAUACUUGCCAUGUGGAACUAGCUCUUUAUACAAGAAGUAACUUGCAUGCUAUUUAUCAGUGACUAAGUUGUUCUUACUUGGAUUUAUUGUUGAAUGUUUGAAUAAACGGUUGCAGUUCUUGGAA